rnacentral:rRNA from 1 species
UACAGAGACUGCAAGCGUUAUUCGGAUUCACUGGGCGUAAAGGGUGCGCAGGCGGCCAAGUGUGUCAGGUGUGAAAUCCCGAGGCUUAACCUCGGAACUGCGCCUGAAACUACUUGGCUAGAGUACUGGAGAGGGCAACGGAAUUCACGGUGUAGCAGUGAAAUGCGUAGAUAUCGUGAGGAACACCAGAGGCGAAGGCGGGUCUCUGGGCCGAUACUGACGCUGAGGAGCGAAAGCGUGGGGAGCGAACAGG